rnacentral:lncRNA from 1 species
CUCACGCCUCCUCUUGCAUCAUGGCGUGGUAAGCUGAACGGGAAGUUUGCGUUAGUGUUAGUAAUCGCAGCUAUGUAUCCUUGAAGUUUCUUGGAGAGCCAACCGAAUCCAGCCCCUCAAGGUGAUAGCAAAUUUUAUGACAUUUUUUCGUUCUGUAAUUUCAUUGUUCGCGACGAUCACUUCCGUCUGUAGUUCCAGUUCUAGUGUGGAGCCCUACGAACUCCCCAAAUUAUCACAAUCCAAAUUCUUUCUGUUAAAUUCAAGUGUUACGCACAGAUGAUGAUGAGCAAUUUUGUUUUCCCACCAGUAAAAGUUAACCUAGGCUUACAAGGUGCCGAAUUUUUACACUCUGGAGAUAGUCGAAGCAUGACUCCAAAAUGGCAUUUUUUCCUUCGCUGAGGGAUGACAAAACAUGCCAGUUCCAUUGAAACUCACAGACCCCUCUUUUUCGCCAGUUGUAUCCACAUCCAUGACUCUGCACGGGAAACCGCCCAAAGUAUUCAUAUUCAUCCGGAUCUGAUUUCAAACCCAGAGGUUCAGGAGCCAUGUCCCGCAGUUCAAGUCUUCUUGCAUCCCACUCGAGGUCCUACAUUUCUCCAGCUCGCUCAGCAUAUUUUGGGCCAUCUAUCUUUGAUGAUGAUUCAUCUCGAGAUGGGAGUGAAUCAAGAGACACCUCAUUUGCAAGUUCACCAUCUUACAACAGCUCUAGUUUGUCCCGCAACUUUUUAAGUGAUAAAUCAAGCUCAAAAGAACUAGGCUCAUCCAAUAAUGCCUACCGCAGGAGCUCUCCCAUUUCAGUCAAUUUUGACGUCAAUGAUUUCAUGAGCAAGUAUUCCCCGGAUAACUACGUACCAGGAACAUAUAGGUCCAAAGAAAAAGCCAGUUCCUCAUUCAAAUCUAAUAUCUCUGACGAUUUGGAAGUCAGAGCAUCAAGGGCAGUCAUCCAGCCAAGGUAUCCUCACUCGUUGGCUCCCAUGUCAUCUGCUCAUGAGAAUUUUUCAUCAUCAGCCAAUUUCAAUUCCAAUUCAACCCUGGAUCCUCUAGGGCCCAAAAUGAAAGCAAUGCAUUUAACAGAUGAAAAUCACAACAUGGUUGGCUACAGUAUUACAAACGGAGAAGACAAAUGCUACUCAGACUUGGUAAGAAAUAGAAACAAACUACCUCUUUUAAUGUUGUAAUUUUUUGCCAAAUCAUUGAUAAAUGCAGAGUUGUCCUCCCCUCCUCUUUUGCCCUGAGCAUAACUUCAAGCUGUAUAAACUUUGAUGUGAAAGAGGAAUUUGAUGGACUAACUGGCAGGGCCAAAAAAUGACAGUGAAUCCUAGACCUUACUCCUCUCCAAAGGCUAUAUUUUGGAGAUGGGUUCUCUUUUCAGAAAAAUCUCAAAUGAAACAGGGAGGGAGAAGAGGUUUCCAGUCAGUAAAGGAGUAGUCUCUUAGUGCUUGUUUUACUAGACUAAAAAAUUUUCAUCAAAUAAGGACAUUCUUACUCCAGAGAAAUAAUGGCCUACUUCGGAAAGCGCAUACGUUAACCUUGCUGUUCCAAAGUUUCUGCCCAAACUUCAGUUUUUUCAAAGGUAAGAGGUAUUAUUCUUCAGUAAAAUUUGUACAGAACAUUUUAAAUCAUCACUAAACAGUCCUGUGAAAUUUUAAGAAUUGUUGAUGGUUUUCCUGCAUUAAAAUGAAAUAUGGCAGGAAGUUAACAGCGUCGUAAACUUUUUCUCCUCAACUUUGCAUUUAGUAACUUGAGUGGUUUUACCAUGAUGCCCAAAAUUCUCAUGGUGUAUAAUUUGUUGACUCGAUAGCACCAUCAUCCAAGUCUCAUUUUGAGGAGUGCAAAUUUCUCAAAUUUAGUUAAGGAGAGAGGGAAAGGAAUAUUUUUCAACAACUAUGUAUUAUGAUUUUGCAAGCAUUCAAUAAUAUCUGUCCUGACCCUGUAUCGUGAAGGAAGAGAGACAGUGAAAACAAGUGAUAAUUUUUAAUUUCUUCCAAAUAGUCCAUCUUCAUGGAGUCUUGGAGCUCCCACUCAUCGCUGGGUUUCUAAAAAUAGCACCCUGUCUUGCCCCAUUUUUUGCUAUAUCUCCGCUUUUCCCCCUCUUUUCAUCCUCUCUCUCCCUUGACUUGGCUGCCUCUCAGUCUGCUUCUUGAUUCAUCUAUCUAUCAUUCAUGUUUCUUCUUCUCAACUCCUCAUCUCUUUUACUCUCAAAUAUUUUAGUUUCUCAAACAAAUGCAGAUGGAUUAUGUCUCACAGCUAAAUUAAACUCUCUUAAUCUUGUUUUUCCAGUCCUGCAUUCUAAACAAGUUUUUAGAAUACUUUCGAUGUAUUUAAGUAAUUCUAAUUUGUGAUACAUAACCGAACCCUCCUCCACAAGUUCGUGUUUAUGAAUGAUUUAUGUUUCAAGGUCUAAAAUUUUUUCAAAUUAAAUUAUGUGACCACCCAUUUUCUUUUAAAGUGAACUUCAUUAGCUCCAAAUUUUUACCGUGGCACAGUGUGGAGUAUGAUGUAUAUAGCACUCAGUUUAUCCUGCUGUUGGUCCUUAUUCUCACCCUCUUAGGAACUGUAAAAAAAUGUAAUACAGUUAAAAAAUUUGUUCCGCUCAAUAAUACCUACCAUCCUAGUUUGAACAUCCAGAACAAUGCAGUAUCACAACGUUUUCAAACUAAAACUCGCUCUGUAAUUGUGAUUGGAAACUUCUCAAUCAGAAGGUUCGUGAAUUUUUGCUCCUCAAAAAUUAAUGCACUUCAAUGGAUCCAAUGUCUUUUCA